rnacentral:rRNA from 1 species
CGGGACGGGUGAGUAAUGCUUGGGAAUCUGGCUUAUGGAGGGGGAUAACUACGGGAAACUGUAGCUAAUACCGCGUAGUAUCGGAAGAUGAAAGUGCGGGACCGUAAGGCCGCAUGCCAUGGGAUGAGCCCAAGUGGGAUUGGUAGUUGGUGGGGUAAAGGCCUACCAAGCCUGCGAUCUCUAGCUGGUCUGAGAGGAUGGCCAGCCACACUGGAACUGAGACACGGUCCAG